UACGGAGGAUCCAAGCGUUAUCCGGAAUUAUUGGGUUUAAAGGGUGCGUAGGCUGGAACCUAAGUCAGUGGUGAAAAGCUAUGGCUUAACUAUAGUCGUGCCAUUGAUACUGGGUUUCUUGAAUUAGGUUGGCGUUUGCGGAAUGUGUCAUGUAGCGGUGAAAUGCAUAGAUAUGCCACAGAACUCCGAUAGCGAAGGCAGCAAGCGAAACCUUGAUUGACGCUGAUGCACGAAAGCGUGGGUAGCGAACAGG
rnacentral:rRNA from 1 species